GAGUGCCUACGGGGGGCAGCAGUGAGGAAUAUUGGUCAAUGGUCGGGAGACUGAACCAGCCAAGCCGCGUGAGGGAGGAAGGUACAGAGUAUCGUAAACCUCUUUUGUCAGGGAACAAAGGCGGGGACGUGUCCCCGGAUGAGUGUACCUGAAGAAAAAGCAUCGGCUAACUCCGUGCCAGCAGCCGCGGUAAUACGGAGGAUGCGAGCGUUAUCCGGAUUUAUUGGGUUUAAAGGGUGCGCAGGCGGUCUGUUAAGUCAGCGGUCAAAGCCCGGGGCUCAACCCCGUACUGCCGUUGAAACUGC
rnacentral:rRNA from 1 species